UACGAAGGGGGCUAGCGUUGCUCGGAAUCACUGGGCGUAAAGGGCGCGUAGGCGGCUUGCCCGGUCGGGGGUGAAAGCCCGUGGCCCAACCACGGAAUGGCCUUCGAUACUGGCAGGCUUGAGACCGGAAGAGGACAGCGGAACUGCGAGUGUAGAGGUGAAAUUCGUAGAUAUUCGCAAGAACACCAGUGGCGAAGGCGGCUGUCUGGUCCGGUUCUGACGCUGAGGCGCGAAAGCGUGGGAAGCAAACAGG
rnacentral:rRNA from 1 species